UCUAGAGGGCGUCCCACACUGUUAAACCAGUGAAAUUGUCUCAUUUUCUUUACUUCUAGAUUCUGGAGGUAUUUUCUGUUAAACCAGCUCUGUGGGGACAAGCACUGUCAUUUUAUGGAAACCUGGAAUUCUCUCUUGGUCUAAACUCUUGUCUCUAUACAGUCAUCUAUUCUCUUCCCCCUCAGCAUUCAAAUUGCCACACCAAACCAUCAUACCACCUCCCCUAAAAGAUAUGUCAGCUGUGAAGAACUCACUGCAGUCAAGAAGGAAGAGUCCACUUUGGAAGGAACUUCUGUCACUCUGUCCUACAAAUAUAAAAAUGCUGCAAAAGGGAAUGAUUAUUUCUACUGGUAUCGACAAUUUCCAGGAAAACUACCAGAGUUCUUGAUCUCUCACACUGGAACAGGAACACCAAUUUCACCACCAGUUCCUGGAUUUUCCUUCAAAGUGAGUGACGACCAAAGACAAAUGGAUCUGCAGAUCUCCUCUGCUGCAGUGACAGACUCUGCUGUGUACUACUGUGCUGUGACGCCCACAGUUACAGGAAACAACAAAACUCUGUACAAAAACCUGCAACAACACAAUACUACACAACAUCCACUAGAGGGCGGGACACACUGUGAAAGCACUGAUUGUUGAGACAUUGAACAUAUGACAAAGACAAAAGAGAAAUGAAGCAGUGGAGAUCACACAAACCUGCUGUGGAAGAACUAAA
rnacentral:lncRNA from 1 species